GAUGAACGCUGGCGGCGUGCCUAAUACAUGCCAGUCGAGCGAACGGACGAGAAGCUUGCUUCUCUGAUGUUAGCGGCGGACGGGUGAGUAACACGUGGAUAACCUACCUAUAAGACUGGGAUAACUUCGGGAAACCGGAGCUAAUACCGGAUAAUAUUUUGAACCGCAUGGUUCAAAAGUGAAAGACGGUCUUGCUGUCACUUAUAGAUGGAUCCGCGCUGCAUUAGCUAGUUGGUAAGGUAACGGCUUACCAAGGCAACGAGGCAUAGCCGACCUGAGAGGGGGAUCGGCCACACUGGAACGGAGCCACGGUCCAGACUCCUACGGGAGGCAGCAGUAGGGAAUCUUCCGCAAUGGGCGAAAGCCUGACGGAGCAACGCCGCGUGAGAGAUGAAGGUCUUCGGAUCGUAAAACUCUGUUAUUAGGGAAGAACAUAUGUGUAAGUAACUGUGCACAUCUUGACGGUACCUAAUCAGAAAGCCACGGCUAACUACGUG
rnacentral:rRNA from 1 species